rnacentral:lncRNA from 1 species
UAGGAGUCUAGGAUUCUAGUUAUCCAGAUCUAUCUAUCGGAAAAAGCCUGUGUUCCUGGUUUCUUCCCUUCCCCUCCCAUUUUUGUCACUUAUACUCCUUGGGUUCGUUCUUAAUUGAGAAAUAAAUUAAGAAAUUUCUGUUGAUGCAUUCCUCCCUUACUGAUUCCUUCAUUAUAAUUAUAUCAUCAUAUAUUCUGAUUGCAGGUCAACACAGAAGAAAAACACUGAACACAGCAUCACCAGGUUGUUAUCAUUCUGAAUUCUGCAGGAGUUCUACCUUAAGUACAUAGUGCACAAUAGUGUACAGCAGUUAUAAUAGACAACCAUCCCUUAGACAAAUCCCUCAUUACAGCACAUUGUCAGUGGUGUGCUUCCAAGGCACUCUACAAAGACAGAUUCAUACGGUAUUUUAAAACUGAGACUUUAAACAGAAAAAAAGAAGAGUAUUGCAGUCAAGUACUUCUUCAUAGAGCUUCCAAGGGGAAAAGAAGAACAUUUUGAUAGGCUCUGAGGAGUAUUGCACUUGAUUUUUUCUGCCCAGCUUCUGAUAAUGCUACACAAUUGGCAGGAAGCUCACUGGAUGAAGACAGUCCAUCUCUCCUGUUUUUUCUUUAAAGCUUCAUAGUUUCAGAAGGCAUCUAUCUCAUGAUAAUGGCUUCAUCAAUUCAAAUGACAACAAAAAAGGAAGAUGGUAACAUUAAUAUAAAAACUUCAACAGAAAUGGCAACCUGUUUCCAUCACAAAUGAAGUUAAAAAUGUUUCUAAUUGGAGCUGGACCAGCUGCAGAGCAAACAGGGUCCGUUCGUCAUGUUUUGAAUCAAUUAAUGUCUUCAGCUAAGAGUUAGUAAGCCAUCAAUAUGUUUACUGCUUAACUGCGAUGAGCUUUAGGCCCUUUUAGACUUCACCUAGCUUUACUCCACGUGUUGCAAAGCAGCGGUGAUUUUGGAGAUACCACUGGUAACAGUGAAGGACAGCCAACAUGACUUGGGGGCAUAAGCAGCAUCAGUUGCUUUGAUACCACAGCAUCAGAUGGACCUUCCAGAGAAAUGGGAAUUGACCACCCACUACCAUGUGGGUUGGUUUGGCCAGUGCUGCAUAAAGUGGAGGAGGCUGUGAGGAAACUUAGCAACUCAGCAGUUGCUUGGAGAAACUAAAUGUUUGUCAACAGGUUUUUUGUCAGCCUUCAUUUUGCUUUCUCUCAUGAUAGGAAAUAUAAAUAUUUCUAUUCAGCUGUGUCAGACUGCUGAAAGUUUCCCAUUUUCUUACUGUUAAGACAGAAGAAUCUAUUUUCAGUCAAUUCUGGAAAAACCCAGUGUGAG